rnacentral:sRNA from 1 species
GGCUUGCUUAACACAUGCAAGUCGAACGGGGUCCAUCCCUUCGGGGAGAAGACCUAGUGGCGAACGGGUGAGUAACACGUGGGCAACCUACCUCGGAAACCGGGAUAACAGGCGGAAACGGCUGCUAAUACCGGAUAAGCCUGUAGGGUCGCAUGGCCUAGCAGGAAAACGGUCCGCCGUUCCGAGAUAGGCCCGCGGCUGAUUAGCUUGUUGGUGGGGUAACGGCUCACCAAGGCGACGAUCAGUAGCCGAGCUGAGAGGCUGACCGGCCACACUGGGACUGAGACACGGCCCAGACUCCUACGGGAGGCAGCAGUGGG